rnacentral:rRNA from 1 species
AUUGAACGCUGGCGGCAGGCCUAACACAUGCAAGUCGAACGAGUGGCGGACGGGUUAGUAAUGUCUGGGAAACUGCCCGAUGGAGGGGGAUAACUACUGGCAACGGUAGCUAAUACCGCAUACCAUCGGAUGUGCCCAGAUGGGAUUAGCUAGUAGGUGGGGUAAAGGCUCACCUAGGCGACGAUCCCUAGCGGGGCUGAGAGGAUGGCCAGCUACACUGGAACGGAGACACGGCACAGACUCCUACGGGAGGCAGCAGUGGGGAAGAUUGCACAAUGGGGGCAAGCCUGAUGCAGCCAUGCCGCGUGUAGGAGGAAGGCCUUCGGGUUGUAAAGUACUUUCGGCGGGAAGGCGUUACCCGCAGAAGAAGCACCGGCUAACUCCGUGCCAGCAGCCGCGGUAAUAC